GAUGAACGCUGGCGGCGUGCCUAAUACAUGCAAGUCGAGCGAACAGACGAGGAGCUUGCUCCUCUGACGUUAGCGGCGGACGGGUGAGUAACACGUGGAUAACCUACCUAUAAGACUGGGAUAAUUUCGGGAAACCGGAGCUAAUACCGGAUAAUAUAUUCAACCGCAUGGUUCAAUAGUGAAAGACGGUUUUGCUGUCACUUAUAGAUGGAUCCGCGCGGCAUUAGCUAGUUGGUAAGGUAACGGCUUACCAAGGCGACGCCGCGUAGCCGACCUGAGAGAGUGAUCUGCCACACUGGAACGGAGACACGGUCCAGACUCCUACGGGAGGCAGCAGUAGGGAAUCUUGCGCAAUGGGCGAAAGCCUGACGGAGCAACGCCGCGUGAGUGAUGAAGGUCUUCGGAUCGUAAAACUCUGUUAUUAGGGAAGAACAAAUGUAUAAGUAACUAUGCACGUCUUGACGGUACCUAAUCAGAAAGCCACGGCUAACUACGUG
rnacentral:rRNA from 1 species